rnacentral:rRNA from 1 species
UCCGACUGUUUAACAAAAACAUAACCUUUAGCCAAACAAAUAUUAAAGGCAACGCCUGCCCAGUGAACAAUUAAACGGCCGCGGUACCCUAACCGUGCAAAGGUAGCGUAAUCAUUUGUCUAUUAAUUGUAGACCUGUAUGAAAGGCAAAAUGAGGGUCUAACUGUCUCUUAUAAUAAAUCAAUUAAACUGAUCUACCAGUCCAAAAGCUGGUAUACCAACAUAAGACCAGAAGACCCUGUGAAGCUUAAACUAACCUAUUAAACCCCAUGAUAGAUACUUUUGGUUGGGGCGACCUUGGAAAAAAAAAGAACUUCCAAUAGGCCAACAAGCCGAACGAUUUGACCCAGCAUAGCUGAUUAUAGAACCAAGUUACUCCAGGGAUAACAGCGCCAUCUUCCUCAAGAGCCCAUAUCAAAAGGAAGGUUUACGACCUCGAUGUUGGAUCAGGACAUCCUAAUGGUGCAGCCGCUAUUAAGGGUUCGUUUGUUCAACGAUUAACAGUCCYACGUGAUCUGAGUUCAGACCGGAGA